CACGUAGGGGGCGAGCGUUGUCCGGAUUUACUGGGCGUAAAGCGCACGUAGGCGGAUCGAUCAGUCAGGGGUGAAAUCCCAGAGCUCAACUCUGGAACUGCCUUUGAUACUGUCGAUCUGGAGUAUGGAAGAGGUGAGUGGAAUUCCGAGUGUAGAGGUGAAAUUCGUAGAUAUUCGGAGGAACACCAGUGGCGAAGGCGGCUCACUGGUCCAUUACUGACGCUGAGGUGCGAAAGCGUGGGGAGCAAACAGG
rnacentral:rRNA from 1 species